rnacentral:rRNA from 1 species
GACGAACGCUGGCGGCGUGCUUAACACAUGCAAGUCGAACGGUGAAGCGCCUUCCUUUUUGGUGGGUGUGGAGGAGUGGCGAACGGGUGAGUAACACGUGAGUAACCUGCCCCCUUCUUCUGGAUAACCGCAUGAAAGUGUGGCUAAUACGGGAUAUUCUGGGUCUGUCGCAUGAUGGGUCUGGGAAAGAUAUUGUUUCGGUGGGGGAUGGGCUCGCGGCCUAUCAGCUUGUUGGUGGGGUGAUGGCCUACCAAGGCGGUGACGGGUAGCCGGCCUGGGAGGGUGGACGGUCACACUGGGACUGAGGCACGGCUCAGACUCCUACGGGAGGCAGCAGUGGGGAAUAGUGCACAAUGGGCGCAAGCCUGAUGCAGCGACGCCGCGUGAGGGAUGGAGGCCUUCGGGUUGUGAACCUCUUUCGCCAGUGAAGCAGUCCUGCCUCGUUUGUGGGUGGGUUGACGGUAGCUGGAUAAGAAGCGCCGGCUAACUACGUG